rnacentral:rRNA from 1 species
AACGAACGCUGGCGGCAGGCCUAACACAUGCAAGUCGAGCGCCCUUUCGGGGGAGCGGCGGACGGGUGAGUAACGCGUGGGAAUAUGCCCUUCUCUACGGAAUAGCCUCGGGAAACUGAGAGUAAUACCGUAUACGCCCUUAGGGGGAAAGAUUUAUCGGGGAAGGAUUAGCCCGCGUUGGAUUAGGUAGUUGGUGGGGUAAUGGCCUACCAAGCCGACGAUCCAUAGCUGGUUUGAGAGGAUGAUCAGCCACACUGGGACUGAGACACGGCCCAGACUCCUACGGGAGGCAGCAGUGGGGAAUCUUAGACAAUGGGGGCAACCCUGAUCUAGCCAUGCCGCGUGAGUGAUGAAGGCCUUAGGGUUGUAAAGCUCUUUCAGCUGGGAAGAUAAUGACGGUACCAGCAGAAGAAGCCCCGGCUAACUCCGUGCCAGCCGCCGCGGUAA